rnacentral:rRNA from 1 species
UACGUAGGGUGCAAGCGUUGUCCGGAAUUAUUGGGCGUAAAGAGCUCGUAGGCGGUUUGUCGCGUCUGCUGUGAAAAACCCGAGGCUCAACCUCGGGCCUGCAGUGGGUACGGGCAGACUAGAGUGCGGUAGGGGGAGAUUGGAAUUCCUGGUGUAGCGGUGGAAUGCGCAGAUAUCAGGAGGAACACCAAUGGCGAAGGCAGAUCUCUGGGCCGUAACUGACGCUGAGGAGCGAAAGCGUGGGGAGCGAACAGG